rnacentral:rRNA from 1 species
CCUACGGGAGGCAGCAGUAGGGAAUUUUCGGCAAUGGAGGAAACUCUGACCGAGCAACGCCGCGUGAAUGAAGAAGUACUUCGGUAUGUAAAAUUCUUUUAUUAGGGAAGAACGAUCUGUGGAAAAACAGAAUUGACGGUACCUAAUGAAUAAGCCCCGGCUAACUAUGUGCCAGCAGCCGCGGUAAUACAUAGGGGGCAAGCGUUAUCCGGAAUUAUUGGGCGUAAAGGGUGCGUAGGCGGCCAUUUAAGUCCUUGGUGUAAGUGCAGCGCUCAACGCUGUGAUGCUAAGGAAACUGAAUGGCUUGAGUGAGAUAGAGGCAAGUGGAAUUCCAUGUGUAGCGGUAAAAUGCGUAAAUAUAUGGAGGAACACCAGUGGCGAAGGCGGCUUGCUGGGUCUUCACUGACGCUGAGGCACGAAAGCGUGGGGAGCGAACAGGAUUAGAUACCCUGGUAGUCCACGCCGUAAACGAUGAGUACUAAGUGUUGGAGAAAUUCAGCGCUGUAGUUAACGCAAUAAGUACUCCGCCUGAGUAGUACGUACGCAAGUAUGAAACUCAAAGGAAUUGACGG